UGGAAAGAUUGCUUAGGAAGGUAUAUCCUAUCUGCAGAUUCCUUAGCCGUAAGUAAGCUGCAUUGAGAACAUACUUUGAUUGCGCUUUUCUGUUUUUCCAGUUUUCUGCACUGAAAUAAGGUUUCGGAAAAUAAGCGUCAGUAUUGGGCCCAAGGAUAUUCGUUUCAUUAGAAGGUCGCCAGUAGUCUAAAACAGGUGUGCCUUUGAGUACGGCGGAAUAACCCCAAAAGUCCUGCAACCCCCAAAACAUGAUAUUGUAAUCU
rnacentral:misc_RNA from 1 species